UACGUAGGGUGCAAGCGUUAUCCGGAAUUAUUGGGCGUAAAGAGCUCGUAGGCGGUUUGUCGCGUCUGCUGUGAAAUCCCGCGGCUCAACCGCGGGUCUGCAGUCGAUACGGGCAGGCUAGAGUUCGGUAGGGGAGACUGGAAUUCCUGGUGUAGCGGUGAAAUGCGCAGAUAUCAGGAGGAACACCGAUGGCGAAGGCAGGUCUCUGGGCCGAUACUGACGUGAGGAGCGAAAGGCGUGGGGAGCGAACAGG
rnacentral:rRNA from 1 species